rnacentral:rRNA from 1 species
AGUCGGAAUUGCUAGUAAUCGCGGAUCAGCAUGCCGCGGUGAAUACGUUCCCGGGCCUUGUACACACCGCCCGUCACACCAUGAGAGCCGGUAACACCCGAAGUCAGUAGCCUAACCGCAAGGGGGGCGCUGCCGAAGGUGGGAUUGGUAAUUGGGGUGAAGUCGUAACAAGGUAAC